GACGAACGCUGGCGGCGUGCUUAACACAUGCAAGUCGAGCGGAAAGGCCACUUCGGUGGUACUCGAGCGGCGAACGGGUGAGUAACACGUGAGUAAUCUGCCCCUCACUUUGGGAUAGCCACCGGAAACGGUGAUUAAUACCGGAUAUGACCCUAUGUCGCAUGGCGUGUGGUGGAGAGUUUUUCGGUGAGGGAUGUGCUCGCGGCCUAUCAGCUUGAUGGUGAGGUAAUGGCUCACCAUGGCUUCGACGGGUAGCCGGCCUGAGAGGGUGACCGGUCACACGGGGACUGAGACACGGCCCAGACUCCUACGGGAGGCAGCGGUGGGGAAUAUGGGACAAUGGGCGGAAGCCUGAUCCAGCAACGCCGCGUGAGGGAUGACGGCCUUCGGGUUGUAAACCUCUUUCAGUACCGACGAAGCGCAAGUGACGGUAGGUACAGAAGAAGCACCGGCCAACUACGUG
rnacentral:rRNA from 1 species